AAUGUAAUUCUGCAACGAAUUCUGAAAUUCAUCGCAGAUUCUGCGACGAAUUCUGAAAUUCGUUGCAGAUUCUGCGAUGAAUUCUAAAAUUUGUUGCAGAUUC